rnacentral:rRNA from 1 species
UACGGAGGGUGCGAGCGUUGUCCGGAAUUAUUGGGCGUAAAGAGCUCGUAGGCGGCUUGUCACGUCGGAUGUGAAAGCCCGGGGCUUAACCCCGGGUCUGCAUUCGAUACGGGCAGGCUAGAGUGUGGUAGGGGAGAUCGGAAUUCCUGGUGUAGCGGUGAAAUGCGCAGAUAUCAGGAGGAACACCGGUGGCGAAGGCGGGUCUCUGGGCCGUUACUGACGCUGAGGAGCGAAAGCGUGGGGAGCGAACAGG